rnacentral:rRNA from 1 species
UACGUAGGGUGCAAGCGUUGUCCGGAAUUAUUGGGCGUAAAGAGCUCGUAGGCGGUCUGUCACGUCGGAUGUGAAAACUCGGGGCUCAACCCCGAGCCUGCAUUCGAUACGGGCAGACUUGAGUUCGGCAGGGGAGACUGGAAUUCCUGGUGUAGCGGUGAAAUGCGCAGAUAUCUGGAGGAACACCGGUGGCGAAGGCGGCAUCCUGGACCGGCAUUGACGCUGAGGCGCGAAAGCCAGGGGAGCAAACGGG